GACAGAGGGUGCAAACGUUGUUCGGAAUUAUUGGGCGUAAAGCGCGUGUAGGCGGCUUUGCAAGUCGGGUGUGAAAGCCCUCAGCUUAACUGAGGAAGUGCGCCCGAAACUGCUUGGCUUGAGUACCGGAGAGGAUGGCGGAAUUCCCCAAGUAGAGGUGAAAUUCGUAGAUAUGGGGAGGAACACCGGUGGCGAAGGCGGCCAUCUGGACGGAUACUGACGCUGAGACGCGAAAGCGUGGGUAGCAAACAGG
rnacentral:rRNA from 1 species